rnacentral:rRNA from 1 species
AGUGAACGCUGGCGGUAGGCCUAACACAUGCAAGUCGAACGGCAGCACAGUAAGAGCUUGCUCUUACGGGUGGCGAGUGGCGGACGGGUGAGGAAUACAUCGGAAUCUACUUUUUUGUGGGGGAUAACGUAAGGAAACUUACGCUAAAAACGCCUACGGACUACGGGUUAAAGCAGGGGGUAUUCGGACCUUGCGCGGUUGAAUGAGCCGAUGUCGGAUUAGCUAGUUGGCGGGGUAAAGGCCCACCAAGGCGACGAUCCGUAGCUGGUCUGAGAGGAUGAUCAGCCACACUGGAACUGAGACACGGUCCAGACUCCUACGGGAGGCAGCAGUGGGGAAUAUUGGACAAUGGGCGCAAGCCUGAUCCAGCCAUACCGCGUGGGUGAAGAAGGCCUUCGGGUUGUAAAGCCCUUUUGUUGGGAAAGAAAAGCAGCAGGUUAAUACCCCGCUGUUCUGACGGUACCCAAAGAAUAAGCACCGGCUAACUUCGUG